rnacentral:rRNA from 1 species
UACGAAGGGGACUAGCGUUGUUCGGAAUCACUGGGCGUAAAGCGCACGUAGGCGGAUGUGUCAGUCAGGGGUGAAAUCCCGGGGCUCAACCUCGGAACUGCCUUUGAUACAGCACGUCUCGAGUCCGGAAGAGGUGGGUGGAAUUCCUAGUGUAGAGGUGAAAUUCGUAGAUAUUAGGAAGAACACCGGUGGCGAAGGCGGCCCACUGGUCCGGUACUGACGCUGAGGUGCGAAAGCGUGGGGAGCAAACAGG